rfam:Triticum aestivum genome assembly, contig: Triticum_aestivum_CS42_TGACv1_scaffold_526543_6DL
AUACUACUCCCUCCGUUCCGAAUUACUUGUCGCACGUAUGGAUGUACUUAUCUAGAUGUAUUUUAGUUCUAGAUACAUCCAUUUCAGCGACGAGUAAUUUGGGACGGAGGAAGUACUAC